CAGACGGGAAGCUAUAUUGCAAUAUACAUUAUUCUUCAUGCGAUGUUUUUCUCUUAAAUAUCAACACAUUUUUAUUUCUAAACUCAUACUGUAGUGGUCGCUGAUGAAUCCUAAACUCAUCCUAAUCUGCUUCACUUCAAUGGCGGUGUGCCACAAUUAGAUUACAAGCCUAUAAUAUGAUUUCAUAUAAAUGAGAAGUUUAUUGUACUAGCGUCUUGAAUUGCUUUUGACAUUAAAGAUGUUUCUAGAAUCACAAAUGUCGCAAUCAUUAAAAUUAGUGUUCCCUUUUCUCUUUCAUGUAUUUCCCUUCUUUUUUUCAUUUUUAUUAUCUCUAGGGUGUGGUUGUUUUAGUCCAUGAUGCAAACUCCAUGAACUAUGAUGAUGCCAUCUUUUCUAAAUUUAUUGGACACACUUUUAUCAGCUGUUGCAGCAUGUUCACUUGGGCUUCCUUUGACAAUGACCACGGUAAAAUCUCUUAUAGUUUAUAAAGAUAGGGUACAAUCACGAUUGAGCUUUGGAGUAGGGGCAGAAACACCAAAUUCUUAGUUAAUUCGGACAGUGAGCUCAUCGAAACAGGGAGAAGCUCCAAAGUCCUCUCUCCGUGGUGGUGCCCGGCCCCUCAGUCCUCUUGCAUCAUUUGGGAUGGACCCGCCCGCCCCCUCAGAUGAUGCUCACGCCGGAGAAGGUCCUGCUUCGUCAACUAAAAGAAUCCGGUUGGAGCUAGUGGAUAAAAUGUCUGACAAUCCAAAAGUGCUUGUAUUCGAGAGCACACAACAGCGGUAUGAGGUCCCUCUGCGACAGCGCACACCCAAAAUAGGUGUUCUGUAGGUGAUGGUUUGCACCCACAAACAUAGCUAGUGGCUUGUCAUAAAUAUUUGUCUUGUGUGUGUUGUCAAAUGUCAUGACAUCUCCAAAAUCAAUAUAUUCAGCCUGCAUGCUAGCAUGACUCCAGAAUAAGCUAUGAAUUGCCCCUUCUUUAUCGAUCUUGACGUACCAACGAAAUUGUGGAUUCUGAGCCUUGCAGUCUUCAAAGAAUUCUAGAAGCUUCGCAAUGUCAUUGGCAUGUUCUGCCCUCACAUUAGC